rnacentral:rRNA from 1 species
GAACGCUGGCGGCGUGCUUAACACAUGCAAGUCGAACGAUGAAGCCCUUCGGGGUGGAUUAGUGGCGAACGGGUGAGUAACACGUGGGCAAUCUGCCCUUCACUCUGGGACAAGCCCUGGAAACGGGGUCUAAUACCGGAUAACACCGGCUUCCGCAUGGGAGCUGGUUGAAAGCUCCGGCGGUGAAGGAUGAGCCCGCGGCCUAUCAGCUUGUUGGUGGGGUAAUGGCCUACCAAGGCGACGACGGGUAGCCGGCCUGAGAGGGCGACCGGCCACACUGGGACUGAGACACGGCCCAGACUCCUACGGGAGGCAGCAGUGGGGAAUAUUGCACAAUGGGCGAAAGCCUGAUGCAGCGACGCCGCGUGAGGGAUGACGGCCUUCGGGUUGUAAACCUCUUUCAGCAGGGAAGAAGCGAAAGUGACGGUACCUGCAGAAGAAGCGCCGGCUAACUACGUGCCAGCAGCCGCGGUAAUACGUAGGGCGCAAGCGUUGUCCGGAAUUAUUGGGCGUAAAGAGCUCGUAGGCGGCUUGUCACGUCGG